rnacentral:siRNA from 1 species
UGAUGGGUGAUCUUGCGUUU